rnacentral:rRNA from 1 species
AUUGAACGCUGGCGGCGUGCUUAACACAUGCAAGUCGAACGCGAAAGGGACUUCGGUCCUGAGUAAAGUGGCGCACGGGUGAGUAACGCGUGGAUAAUCUGCCCUUAUGAUUGGAAUAACAGUUGGAAACGGCUGCUAAUACCGGAUACGCUCAAAAUGAACUUUUUGAGGAAAGAUGGCCUCUGCCUGCAAGCUGUGGCAUAAGGAUGAGUCCGCGUCCCAUUAGCUUGUUGGCGGGGUAACGGCCCACCAAGGCAACAAUGGGUAGCCGAUUUGAGAGGAUGAUCGGCCACACUGGAACUGAAACACGGUCCAGACUCCUACGGGAGGCAGCAGUGGGGAAUAUUGCGCAAUGGGCGAAAGCCUGACGCAGCGACGCCGCGUGAGGGAUGAAGGUUUUCGGAUCGUAAACCUCUGUCAGAAGGGAAGAAACUACGUUGUGCUAAUCAGCAGCGUACUGACGGUACCUUCAAAGGAAGCACCGGCUAACUCCGUGCCAGCCGCCGCAGUAA